CUUUUCAGACAGGGAUUUGGAUGCCUUUCGGAAGCUGGGAAAAGAAACCCCAUGGAACUUCUGCAUUUGGGACUGGAGUUUAAAACCCCUAGGAGCUAGACAACAGCCCUGGAGACCAGCCAGGCGAUGGAAGUGGUGUUGGUCUGGAUUCCAGGAGGUUAUGGGCAGAAUCUCUGCAUUGAUGAUGUCAUCCCUGCCACAGGCUCAUUAACACUUCGCAACAGCAAAGCCCUGCCCACAAAGGGAAGGGAUCUAAAGAAGAUACACAAACAAAGGAGGUGAAUGUUAAAAGCAGCUAAUGAGAAGAAAACUCCACCUUCCGAUCGCAGCACUUCAGAACAAGGAGCAUUGCCAAGCACUAAGAACCUGGGGAUUAAAGAGACAAUUUAGGAAGACUUGAUGCAGAGAAUGGAAAUCUCCUGAAAGGUAUUAAAGAACACAGAAGAUCAGCACAUACAUUUUGGGGGGGGAGGGAGGAAACAUGGACAACUUUAC
rnacentral:lncRNA from 1 species